rnacentral:rRNA from 1 species
UACAGAGAGUGCAAACGUUGUUCGGAAUCACUGGGCAUAAAGCGCGCGUAGGCGGCGCCACAAGUGCGGGGUGAAAUCCCACGGCUUACCCGUGGAACUGCCUGGUAUACUGUGGUGCUAGAGGAUGGUAGGGGAGAGCGGAACUCCAGGUGGAGCGGUGAAAUGCGUAGAGAUCUGGAGGAACACCGGUGGCGAAGGCGGCUCUCUGGUCCAUUACUGACGCUGAGGUGCGAAAGCUAGGGGAGCAAACGGG